GAUGAACGCUAGCUACAGGCUUAACACAUGCAAGUCGAGGGGAAACGACAUCGAAAGCUUGCUUUUGAUGGGCGUCGACCGGCGCACGGGUGAGUAACGCGUAUCCAACCUGCCCAUCACUUGGGGAUAACCUUGCGAAAGUAAGACUAAUACCCAAUGAUAUCUCUAGAAGACAUCUGAAAGAGAUUAAAGAUUUAUCGGUGAUGGAUGGGGAUGCGUCUGAUUAGCUUGUUGGCGGGGUAACGGCCCACCAAGGCAACGAUCAGUAGGGGUUCUGAGAGGAAGGUCCCCCACAUUGGAACUGAGACACGGUCCAAACUCCUACGGGAGGCAGCAGUGAGGAAUAUUGGUCAAUGGGCGAGAGCCUGAACCAGCCAAGUAGCGUGCAGGAAGACGGCCCUAUGGGUUGUGAACUGCUUUUAUAAGGGAAUAAAGUGAGAGUCGUGACUCUUUUUGUAUGUACCUUAUGAAUAAGGACCGGCUAAUUCCGUG
rnacentral:rRNA from 1 species